rnacentral:rRNA from 1 species
AGUGAACGCUGGCGGCGUGCUUAACACAUGCAAGUCGAAAGAGAACGGGAUAUAGCUUGCUAUAUUUGUCAGCUAAGUGGCGCACGGGUGAGUAAUGUAUAGAUAACCUGCCCUCUAGAAAGGAAUAACAGUUGGAAACGACUGCUAAUGCCCUAUAUGCCUUUAAUACAUAAGUAUGCAAGGGAAACGCUUUAGUGCUAGAGGAUGGGUCUGUAUGGUAUCAGCUUGUUGGUGAGGUAAUGGCUCACCAAGGCUAUGACGCCUAACUGGUUUGAGUGGAUAAUCAGUCACACUGGAACUGAGACACGGUCCAGACUCCUACGGGAGGCAGCAGUGGGGAAUAUUGCACAAUGGACGAAAGUCUGAUGCAGCAACGCCGCGUGGAGGAUGACACAUUUCGGUGCGUAAACUCCUUUUAUAUAGGAAGAUAAUGACGGUACUAUAUGAAUAAGCACCGGCUAACUCCGUGCCAGCCGCCGCGGUAA